AUGUCGGAGAAAUUACACGGGAAAAGGAAAGAUCGGAGAGAGAGAGAUCAGCUUUUUACUUAUCGUCAAUUCCUCCUUGGCGUUCCAUUGAUUCUCCCCUGUCUUUCUCGAGAAAAUGAAAAGGAGAAGAGAGUCGCCAGAGAGCGAGUAACCCUAACCCUAAAUCUUUUUCGCGCGAGAAUUAGAGCGGGCGGGGAGAGAGGGGUUUGUUUGAAGAGUGUUGAUAUACAGAGUCGGCUGAUUUCGUCACGUGGUGCAUAUUAAAGUAGAGCGGGAGAUUUUGAAGCUGUAAUCUUCCCCUACAUCAAUUAUUCCUCGUAGCCAGUACCUUUCAAGCAACCAAAAAGAAGAGAUGUCAUUCGAACAAUGUGCCAUGGACAUAGGUUGCCUUUAGCUCUAGCUUGGAUUCAUCGUAGUUACUCCAAGUAAGCUAACGAUGAGCUAGUCAAAGUAUAUGCAAAAAUAAAAUAAAAGUCAUUCUUUGAACGGCAUGUUAUGUGAAUGACAUGGACAUGGAAGGCUUUGUAAAUGCAUGUUUGGGGGAUUAUCUGAGCAAAGGGCAUGGAGUUGCAGGCAAAGCACUCAUAUCAAACAAACCGUCUUUCUCAUCUGAUGUAAAGACAUUUUGAUAUCUGAAUUUAAAGGGUCUUUUUCAGGAUAAUGAGUGAGAUCAAAAGGGGUAAGUGCUUGCAGAAGAUUAAAGAGCCAAGAGAUCAUUUUUUGACAUGGUUGUCUGAAUUUUCCCCACUCCAAGAUUGUUUCUUGGACACUAAUGCAUCUCUCAUUGCUUCCACUCUGUUAGAUGUUGCAUGCCCUUGAUUAAAGUAAACAACGGUCUCGGUUAUAUGGAAACCCUUGCGACUCUUUGCUACGUACCCAUUUUAUGGCAUGUCUCAGAAAGUGAAGAGAGUAACUAAGAAGCGUGUGUGUAGGAUAAGAAUGUUUGAAAGGAGAGCAAGGGAAUGUAUCCUCCUUGCAAAGCUUGUUGAUUUCCUGUAAAUGGGGAGCUCAAAAUUUUGGUUUAGAUAGAUGUUCUUCAAGUUGUUGGCAAAUUAGAUGUGUCAGAAGAAUCUUCAACAAUAAUAGAAACAAUGAUUGUUAAUGGGUUUCAGAUUCCUCCUUCACAUGUAAGAAAUUAAGAAUGCUACUAAGUUUGUGUGUAGAAUUUUAAGCCACUAGAAAGAACAUAAAGUUUGUUAUCCAUAGUUUAAUGGUCUCGCAAAACUGUUUAUCUAAAUAUGGUUUGACUUUAUUUACCCUUUUCUCAACCACAGGCAGAAUCUGUGAGCCGUAUGUUUGAAAGACACUGGGAGCUUGCAACUGAAUUCCGUCCAAAGAACCCAAAUGUAAGGACAGGCUUACACAAGCUUUCUACUCAUUCUGAUUGUGACUAUAUGCCAGUCACCGCAGGAGGUCUUCCAGGAUGAUCUGUCUGAUGCUUAUGCUGCACUGGGAUUCAUGAGAGAUGCUGGAUUUAAGUUGGAUUGGUUGGAGAAGAAGCUUGAUAUUGUUCUAUUCUGUCUGUUUUUUUAUUUUAACUUGCAGAUGUUUCGGGUGAAGGACCCUAAGGCUAGUCUUGACUUCUACUCACGUGUCCUGGGAAUGUCAUUGCUGAAAAGGCUUGAUUUCUCUGAGAUGAAAUUCAGCUUGUACUUCCUGGGCUACGAGGAUACUUCAACAGCUCCAACGGAUCCAACUGAGAGGCU